AUUAGAUACCCUGGUAGUCCACGCCGUAAACGAUGUCUACUUGGAGGUUGUGCCCUUGAGGCGUGGCUUCCGGAGCUAACGCGUUAAGUAGACCGCCUGGGGAGUACGGCCGCAAGGUUAAAACUCAAAUGAAUUGACGGGGGCCCGCACAAGCGGUGGAGCAUGUGGUUUAAUUCGAUGCAACGCGAAGAACCUUACCUGGUCUUGACAUCCACAGAAGAAUCCAGAGAUGGAUUUGUGCCUUCGGGAACUGUGAGACAGGUGCUGCAUGGCUGUCGUCAGCUCGUGUUGUGAAAUGUUGGGUUAAGUCCCGCAACGAGCGCAACCCUUAUCCUUUGUUGCCAGCGGUUAGGCCGGGAACUCAAAGGAGACUGCCAGUGAUAAACUGGAGGAAGGUGGGGAUGACGUCAAGUCAUCAUGGCCCUUACGACCAGGGCUACACACGUGCUACAAUGGCGCAUACAAAGAGAAGCGACCUCGCGAGAGCAAGCGGACCUCAUAAAGUGCGUCGUAGUCCGGAUUGGAGUCUGCAACUCGACUCCAUGAAGUCGGAAUCGCUAGUAAUCGUGGAUCAGAAUGCCACGGUGAAUACGUUCCCGGGCCUUGUACACACCGCCCGUCACACCAUGGGAGUGGGUUGCAAAAGAAGUAGGUAGCUUAACCUUCGGGAGGGCGCUUACCACUUUGUGAUUCAUGACUGGGGUGAAGUCGUAACAAGGUAACCGUAGGGGAACCUGCGGUUGGA
rnacentral:rRNA from 1 species